UACGUAGGGUCCGAGCGUUGUCCGGAGUUACUGGGCGUAAAGCGCGCGCAGGCGGCGGCGCAGGCCUGGCGUGAAAGCCCCCGGCUCAACCGGGGAGGGUCGUCGGGGACUGCGUCGCUUGAGGACGGCAGGGGCCGGUGGAAUGCCCGGUGUAGUGGUGAAAUGCGUAGAGAUCGGGCAGAACACCCGUGGCGAAGGCGGCCGGCUGGGCCGAUCCUGACGCUGAGGCGCGAAGGCGUGGGGAGCGAACGGG
rnacentral:rRNA from 1 species